rnacentral:rRNA from 1 species
CCUACGGGAGGCUGCAGUGGGGAAUAUUGCACAAUGGGGGAAACCCUGAUGCAGCGACGUCGCGUGAGUGAUGAAGUAUUUCGGUAUGUAAAGCUCUAUCAGCAGGGAAGAAAAUGACGGUACCUGACUAAGAAGCCCCGGCUAACUACGUGCCAGCAGCCGCGGUAAUACGUAGGGGGCAAGCGUUAGCCGGAUUUACUGGGUGUAAAGGGAGCUGAGACGGCGGUGCAAGCCAGAUGUGAAAGCCAGGGGCUCAACCCCGGGACUGCAUUUGGAACUGUGCUGCUAGAGUGUCGGAGAGGCAGGCGGAAUUCCUAGUGUAGCGGUGAAAUGCGUAGAUAUUAGGAGGAACACCAGUGGCGAAGGCGGCUCACUGGACUGUAACUGACGUUGAGGCUCGAAAGCGUGGGGAGCAAACAGGAUUAGAUACCCCGGUAGUC